UUGAACUGAAGAGUUUGAUCCUGGCUCAGAUUGAACGCUGGCGGCAUGCCUUACACAUGCAAGUCGAACGGCAGCACGGGCUUCGGCCUGGUGGCGAGUGGCGAACGGGUGAGUAAUACAUCGGAACAUGUCCUGUAGUGGGGGAUAGCCCGGCGAAAGCCGGAUUAAUACCGCAUACGAUCCACGGAUGAAAGCGGGGGACCUUCGGGCCUCGCGCUAUAGGGUUGGCCGAUGGCUGAUUAGCUAGUUGGUGGGGUAAAGGCCUACCAAGGCGACGAUCAGUAGCUGGUCUGAGAGGACGACCAGCCACACUGGGACUGAGACACGGCCCAGACUCCUACGGGAGGCAGCAGUGGGGAAUUUUGGACAAUGGGCGCAAGCCUGAUCCAGCAAUGCCGCGUGUGUGAAGAAGGCCUU
rnacentral:rRNA from 1 species